rnacentral:rRNA from 1 species
AGUGAACGCUGGCGGUAGGCCUAACACAUGCCAGUCGAACGGCAGCACAGUAAGAGCUUGCUCUUACGGGUGGCGAGUGGCGGACGGGUGAGGAAUACAUCGGAAUCUACUUUUUCGUGGGGGAUAACGUAGGGAAACUUACGCUAAUACCGCAUACGACCUACGGGUGAAAGCAGGGGAUCUUCGGACCUUGCGCGAUUGAAUGAGCCGAUGUCGGAUUAGCUAGUUGGCGGGGUAAAGGCCCACCAAGGCGACGAUCCGUAGCUGGUCUGAGAGGAUGAUCAGCCACACUGGAACUGAGACACGGUCCAGACUCCUACGGGAGGCAGCAGUGGGGAAUAUUGGACAAUGGGCGCAAGCCUGAUCCAGCCAUACCGCGUGGGUGAAGAAGGCCCUCGGGUUGUAAAGCCCUUUUGUUGGGAAAGAAAAGCAGCAGGUUAAUACCCCGCUGUUCUGACGGUACCCAAAGAAUAAGCACCGGCUAACUUCGUG